UCAUUGUGAUUCCUGGAGCAUCCUCAUAAAGCACGGGCACUCCAAAAUCUGAUGUCUAGCUGCAUUUUUUCCCUUCCGCUUCAUCUGGAUAUCAAGUUAUUUGUCAGCUUCUGUCUGAAGAUUUAUGGUUCUGAGCACUGUUAAUUGUGCUCUGCCUCAGAAGUAAUCUGUGCUGUAAGGUGUUUGACACGACCUGCUGGGUCCUGCCAUGGGGACAGCCAGAAGGUGUCAGCCAGCAAGGAGGAACGUGGCCCUCAAGGUCCCUUGUGAAGGAACUAGCAGUCCAAGCCUUCUUGGAGACUCAAAGAGUGAAUCCUCGUGGUGCUUGUGGCGACGGUGCUUUUUGUGAGGUUGCUUUUGGCCAAUGUAUGCGAACCAUUACUUCACAGUAAAACCACCACCACUGCUGGCCCGGAGCGUCUCAGACCGAGCCCUGCAUACCCGACUAGCCCCCACCGAGGCGACAAGCUUCUCCUCGCCUCUCUCCCUGCCUGCAGGGCCGGGGCCGGGCUCGCCCAGCCGCAGGAAGGAAACAACCCCGCGUCCCUUCCUCACGCACCCCGCCCGCCCGGGACGCGGCGCCGCAGCCUGAGGCGAUCCUGGCAACCCCCCGUCCCGUUCCCGCCUCGCCCAACGGCCGCGCCUCGCGCCCCCCGCGGCCGUUAACCGCCCCCCCCCGCCUCGCGCCGCAGACCCCCGCGUGCCAGGGCGGGGGCGGAGGGCGCGGCGCGAUUGGCCGGCGGGCAGCCAAGCGCGGCCCGCUCGCUCGCCUCCUAUUGGCCAAGGGGAGGGAGAGCGCCCCCGCCCACCUUCCUUCUCUCCCAUUGGCCGGCCGGGCCGGCCGGGCCCCGCCCCCCCGGGGUCAUUUAAGUUUAUGGGGGGAAAUAAAUAAAUAAAGCGGGAAAUAGAAAUGCGUAGAAGGGGGGGGGAGCGCAACCUAACCUGCUGCUCGAGGGCGGAGGCACCCGCGGUGGCCAAUCGGCGCUCAGCUGCCGGCAGAGAGUGACGCCUCGGCAGAGCCAAUCAGAGAGCCAGGCGGCUGUUAUCAUUCCCGCGCCGGCCAAUGAGAGGCGUCACGCUUUUGACCGACGUUUGUGCGGUCCAGUAGGAGGCGCGCAUAGCGGGCCGGCGAGCGCGGCUUCGCCUAUAGAAAAUCCCCCCGCUAGUCGCCAGGAAGGGGGCUGGCCCGGAUCGGGGGGCGUGGCCCAGGUGGGGAGUGGCGGGGCUCGGAGCCAAUGGGGGCAGGGCAGCGGGGGUGUGCGGGGGCCAAUGAGGGGGGCCGCCUGUGAAAAGCGCCGAGCCGGUGCGCUGAGGGGGAAGAUGAGAGAGGACCUCAGUAUUGUUCAGUACAGUUUGUCAUGUGAGGCUGUAAAUCCCUUCAAGCAAGAUAUAUGUGGUAUGUUGUGUAAAGGAAGUGACAGCCUGUUGGCCUCAGGACACGUAAAGAAUGUCCUUAGUACGCUUUGCCUUUGGGAGGAAAAUACAAAGAUUGUCACAAACGGGAAGUCACGUUCACAACGCUUCUGUCACCAGUGCUUGUAA
ensembl:lncRNA